rnacentral:rRNA from 1 species
CCUACGGGUGGCAGCAGUGGGGAAUAUUGGGCAAUGGAGGAAACUCUGACCCAGCAACGCCGCGUGAAUGAUGAAGGUCUUCGGAUUGUAAAGUUCUUUUCUAAGGGAAGAAGAAAAUGACGGUACCUGACUAAGAAGCCCCGGCUAACUACGUGCCAGCAGCCGCGGUAAUACGUAGGGGGCAAGCGUUAUCCGGAUUUACUGGGUGUAAAGGGAGCGUAGACGGCCAGACAAGUCAGAAGUGAAAGCCCAGGGCUCAACCCUGGGACUGCUUUUGAAACUGCCGGGCUGGAGUGCAGGAGAGGUAAGCGGAAUUCCUAGUGUAGCGGUGAAAUGCGUAGAUAUUAGGAGGAACACCAGUGGCGAAGGCGGCUUACUGGACUGUAACUGACGUUGAGGCUCGAAAGCGUGGGGAGCAAACAGGAUUAGAUACCCCUGUAGUC